AGGCAGCAGUAGGGAAUCUUCACAAUGGGCGCAAGCCUGAUGGAGCAACACCGCGUGAGUGAAGAAGGGUUUCGGCUCGUAAAGCUCUGUUGUUUAAAGAAGAACACGUAUGAGAGUAACUGUUCAUACGUUGACGGUAUUUAACCAGAAAGUCACGGCUAACUACGUGCCAGCAGCCGCGGUAAUACGUAGGUGGCAAGCGUUAUCCGGAUUUAUUGGGCGUAAAGAGAGUGCAGGCGGUUUUCUAAGUCUGAUGUGAAAGCCUUCGACUUAACCGGAGAAGUGCAUCGGAAACUGGAUAACUUGAGUGCAGAAGAGGGUAGUGGAACUCCAUGUGUAGCGGUGGAAUGCGUAGAUAUAUGGAAGAACACCAGUGGCGAAGGCGGCUACCUGGUCUGCAACUGACGCUGAGACUCGAAAGCAUGGGUAGCGAACAGGAUUAGAUACCCUGGUAG
rnacentral:rRNA from 1 species